rnacentral:rRNA from 1 species
GUGUGAGGUGAUGGAUGUAUUAGUGCACGAUCUCUUCUGAUCUCAGAAGCUUAGCAGAGUCAGGCCUGGUUAGUACUUGGAUGGGAGACCACCUAGGAAUACCAGAUGCUAUAGGUG